AUUGAACGCUGGCGGCAGGCCUAACACAUGCAAGUCGAACGAGUGGCGGACGGGUGAGUAAUGUCUGGGAAACUGCCCGAUGGAGGGGGCUAACUACUGGAAACGGUAGCUAAUACCGCAUACCAUCAGAUGUGCCCAGAUGGGAUGAGCUAGUAGGGUGGGUAACGGCUCACCAAGGCGACGAUCCCUAGCUGGUCUGAGAGGAUGACCAGCCACACUGGAACUGAGACACGGUCCAGACUCCUACGGGAGGCAGCAGGGGGGAAUAUUGCACAAUGGUCGCAAGCCUGAUGCAGCCAUGCCGCGUGUAUGAAGAAGGCCUUCGGGUUGUAAAGUACUUUCAGCGAGGAGGCGUUACCCGCAGAAGAAGCACCGGCUAACUCCGUGCCAGCAGCCGCGGUAAUAC
rnacentral:rRNA from 1 species